AAAAACAUGUCCUUUUGUUUAUUUUUUUAAGGUCUAGCCUGCCCAAUGAAGUUUAUUUAAUGGCCGCAGUAUAUUAACUGUGCUAAGGUAGCAUAAUCAGUUGUCUUUUAAUUUAAGGCUGGAAUGAAGGGUUGGACGAGAUAUUAUCUUUCUUUAUUUUUAAAAUUUUAAUUUAACUUGUGAGUUAAAAGGCUCAUUUAAUUUUAAGGGACGAGAAGACCCUAUAGAUCUUUAUAUUUAUAUUUUUGUUUUUUUGUAGCUAAAUAAAAAUUUAUAAAAGCAGUAUUUAUUUAAUUGGGGUGAUUUCAGAAUUUUAAAAACUUCUGUAUUUUUAACAUUGAUGGAUGUUUUGUGAUCCAAUAUUAUUGAUUAUUAGAUUAAGUUACCUUAGGGAUAACAGCGUAAUUCUUUUGGAGAGUUCUUAUCGAUAAAAGAGUUUGCGACCUCGAUGUUGGAUUAAAAUGAGUUUUGGGUGCAAAAGUUCAAUUACUUGGUCUGUUCGACCAUUAAAGUUUUACAUGAUCUGA
rnacentral:rRNA from 1 species